GCUGGGCCUCAGAGGCCGGGGCUGCUCGGGGGCACCUCGGCAGGGCGCGGGCGGUGACCGGGGCGUGCAGUACGGAGCCCGCCGGCAGGUGGCGCUGCAGCCCUCCCGAGCCGCCGACCCCAACCCGAGACUGCUGCGCUAGCUCUGCAAACGCGUCGCUGAUUGUCUCCCGCAGGAAGUGCGCGUAAAUUCUUCACUUUUUUUUCCUCUAAAGAUUUUCGUUGCAUUCAAAAUAGGUCUCUGCAUAUGCAUGAAGCGAUUCUCAGUAUCUUCAAAGAGAAGCCUGAGCCCAGCAGGUCCCAGGCGAAGCCUGGCCCAGAGAGCCCAGGGGUAAUGCAUGAAGGAAGUCAGUGAAUGCCUCAGGACGGGCAAAGAUCCAGAUCCUCCAAAUCAGCCCAAAUCAAAUAUUUCUGAGCUCUCUGCAAGCCCAGGGGUCACCAGCUUGCAAAUCAUGCUACAAUGUCUGUGGAAACGAGUCUCGGUUGGCUGCUUGCAGCAAUCUUGGUAGAUGCAAAUCAUAAUAAAUAAGUUUAUAAACGUGAA